UAAUACAGAGGUCUCAAGCGUUGUUCGGAUUCAUUGGGCGUAAAGGGUGCGUAGGUGGCGAGGUAAGUCGGAUGUGAAAUCUCCAAGCUCAACUUGGAAACUGCAUUCGAUACUGCUUUGCUCGAGGACUGUAGAGGGCAUUGGAAUUCACGGUGUAGCAGUGAAAUGCGUAGAUAUCGUGAGGAAGACCAGUGGCGAAGGCGAAUGCCUGGGCAGUUCCUGACACUGAGGCACGAAGGCCAGGGGAGCAAACGGGAUUAGAUACCCCGGUAGUCCUGGCAGUAAACGGUGCACGUUUGGUGUGGGAGGAUUCGACCCCUUCCGUGCCGGAGCAAACGCGUUAAACGUGCCGCCCGGGGAGUACGGUCGCAAGAUUAAAACUCAAAGAAAUUGACGGGGACCCGCACAAGCGGUGGAGUAUGUGGCUUAAUUCGAUGCAACGCGAAGAACCUUACCUGGCCUUGACAUGCAUCUCUAAUCCGGUGAAAGCCGGUGAGUGUAGCAA
rnacentral:rRNA from 1 species